rnacentral:lncRNA from 1 species
CUUGCCUGAGACCCUUUCGGGGCUCCUGCAGACCUUAGGAUCCCCCUGAGAUAGCAUCCUCUGACUGUGCUGAUGUCUCCUUCACUACCUCGGAGCCCUCCAAGGGCUUCAGCAGAGAUGAACAGAACAGACAUCUCAAUACACCCCACUGCUGUGACAAGAUAACUGGAGGCCGAUGGAAGAUAUAUUAAGUCCUGCAUCCAACCCGGGGCAGAGCACACCAGAGGCACAGCAGCCUCCUACAGCCAACCUCACCAAGUGAUCUCCUUGGCUGCAGGACAGCUGAAGGAGUGGUGGAAGACACAAGCCAAAGUCCAUGGGCCAGAGUCCUGGCUGCAAGAGAAGCCAUAGUAGGCCAGGGUGAGUCAGCUCUGUACUGAGGCCAUCUGCCAUGAGCAGUCCAGCUCCUCCCUGUCAUAGAACUUCUUUGUCUGGCUAAUUCAUUCUCUUCUGUAGGUGCUACCACAACCCCUCUGUCCCCAC